rnacentral:rRNA from 1 species
UACAGAGGUCCCGAGCGUUGUUCGGAUUCAUUGGGCGUAAAGGGUGCGUAGGCGGUCUGCUAAGUUUGGUGUGAAAUCCCCCGGGCUCAACCUGGGAAUUGCGAUGGAGACUGCAAGGCUAGAAUCUGGCAGAGGGGGGGGUAGAAUUCCAGGUGUAGCGGUGAAAUGCGUAGAUAUCUGGAGGAAUACCGGUGGCGAAGGCGGCAUCCUGGACCGGCAUUGACGCUGAUGAGCGAAAGCUAGGGGAGCAAACGGGG